rnacentral:lncRNA from 1 species
UUUGGAGUGCUCUCUUUUUGACCAAAAAAAGUAUGUGGCAAAGAAAGCGAGUACCUAAACAAAAACAUACACGAGCGUUUGUUCUUAAAGUAGAAAGAGAUAUUUAAAAUCCAGUAGCCGUCACUUUCAUUACCAUUUAAAUUAAAAAUUGAUUAUUAAUUUAUGUGAAGGACAAAAAUUGUAAAAUUAAAAUAUCUUUUUCAAAGUCUUACAAAAAAAAAAAAAAAAUCCAAAUUAGAAAUAUUUUUGGUACAACUGUCUGAAAGAGUAAAGCUCUGCACUUUUUUGCCAAGUCAGCAACAAAAAGCGUUGUCCUCUGGGUUGUUCCAAAAGUCAUACACGUGGCGUUACGUUAAGGUUAGAGAGAUAGAAGAAGAAGAAGGAUAAGAAGAUGAAUGGUUUGUAAUUGUACGCCACUCGAUUUUUUUUUUUUUUUUUUUUUUAUUACCAAAAAUUUCUUGCCCACUCGUUUUCUCGUUCGGUGUUUUAUUUAUUUAAGCUAUAGAGAGUUUAUGUUUUUUUUUUUUUCCUUCAAUAAAGUUUUACAUUAUUUAUUAUUUUUAGAUCUUACGAAUCUGAAAUAUUCUUUAGAUAAGAAAAACUUGUACCAGUAAAAUACUUGUGUAAUGGCCACUAACAA